rnacentral:lncRNA from 1 species
UCAUCUCUCUCCGUCAAUCAGUCUUUGCCACUCUUAGACUUUUUUUUUAAUUCUCGGUGCCAAUUAUAGGUCUUUGUCUCGCUAACAGAAGGACGUACGUCCAUUUUUGGGAGAAAUUUUGACUAAAAAGGUUGCGUGAAGAGGAGUUUGAAUGUGACUCGUCCCUGUCUCUUUUUGCUGAAUCUGCUUUUGUCAUAUCAAAGCUCAGCGUUUGGAUUUGGGCACAAGAGUUUCAAAGUUUGAAAUUCAAAAUCCCGCCCAAAAUUCAAAAUCCCUAAUUCCUUUCCUAUAAAUACAACAUUUGGAACUCAUUUGGGACAAGCUUUCUCUUCCGCCUCUACACUAUUAAAUAUUAAUUUUACCUUAAACAUUUGUUUCUUACAUUCUCAAUUAGUCUCGUGCGUUUUGAGCUCAUUGACCUUUAGUUUAGUGAGUAGAUCCGGAUACAAAGCCUUAGUUCACUGCCGCGCAACAGGUGAUAUUUGAUUUCCUUUAUUUUAUUUAAUUAUUUAUUUUUUCUUAUUCUUUCCGUCUUUGUCAUAAUAAUGUUAUGCCUAUUUUAAAGAAAGUAUUACGCUAGGGGUAGUUUUGCUUAAAUUUGUGUUUAAAUGUUUACUGUGUUUUUUUUUUUUUGGUGUUAAAUCAUGAAUUAGUGUUCUCAUCAGUUAUUUAAAAGCAUGACUCUUUUAGUUUUGUUCUUUAGUUUGAUUCCCUGUAACGCAUUUUAUUAGGAGUUUAACUAGCUAUGCUUAAUUGAUUAGAUUUCUGCGUUAGUUUGAAGCAUCGAGUUAGCCCUCAAGAAUGUAAAGAAUGACUUAUAUUUUCGGAAUAGAUACUCGCACAAAACCAGUUUUUUUUAUACUUACAUGAAAUUAGUUUCUCGUUUCCAGUUAGUUACACUAUUAUAUGGUGAAAAAGGAUAUAGUCAAUAAAUAAGCUUUCUCUAUAAAAAGAUGACUGGAGCACAUUGUCACUUCUGCUUAGUUUAAAAGUAUUAGGCAACCCAUUUGCAUCUUCAUUUCACAUCAUUAUGCGCACACAUAUCUUUGUUUAGGUCAUGGUGUAUACUCUCUUGGCAAGGAUACAUACAUAAGUUAACUUUUUAAAGGAGAUAGCAUGUGUGAUACCUUAAGGGAUUAUUUUUAAAAUUUCAUACUUACCUUAAAGUAGUAGUCCCAUUGUAGCUUAAAGAUUAUGAUCUAGCUGUUUUAACUUGGUUCAAGAGUCCUCAAUUGGAAAUGGAUGUAUAUGAACUUUCUUUUCUUCCAUUAGAAUUUGCAUGAACUUGGACAUGUCUAAAGGUUCCAUAAAGGCAACGAUCUAUUAAGUUUUGUAAUAAGUAAGUAUGUCUUCCGUUAACUGUUGAUUGGCACAAAGUGAAUCCUCAGUCCUGAUUGUCCGAAAUCAUAUGUUAUAAAUUGCGUCAUAAUAAUUAUGUGGCUGCUUUUAUCUCGUUUUCCCUUUGUCUUUGUUACUUUGCUUAGUUUCCUUAUAUAAGAUGUAUGUAUAAACAAUUGACAUGGUCUUAGGAGCCUAAUUUGGUAACCAUAGUGCUUGUUGCUUAUUAUUUGGGUUGGUUUUACCCUACUUGCUGGACAUGUAUUUUCAGAAUCACAUUUUUCAGUUUGAUCACUCUUUAGUAACGUUUGCCAUCCUUGUUUCGCUCACAGAUUUUGCUCAUCAUGUCUUAGAAAUUUGAAUGUCUAAAAUGAGUGCAACGUUAAGAUGACAACGUGUUUUGAGCUACAAUUGAAUUUACUAAAAGUUUUCAUGGCUUUCCAAUGUGCAUUCGGAAUCAGCCGAGUUUGUUAACAAAAUAGAAAUUAGCAUGAGUAGAUAUAAUGUUCUUACUUUAUCGAUAUAUGGCAUUAUAUAUGAUCUUUUCAUCUUAAGAUUUAAUGUAGCUUUCGUUCGUGCCAUACAUACAUUGGUGUAAGUUUCAAAUUAGUUAUGUUACGACUAUGUCUCAUAAAGUUUGGUACCUUACUAAAAUAUAAUGGCAGGGUGUAGUUUGCUAAAGAAAUGUGUGUUUUCAUAUCCAUUUUUGCUUUCUUAUGAUUAAAUAUACACUAGUUUAGGAUUAUCUCCUCAAUAAUGGUUUGACUGUACCAACAAAUCAUAUGUCAAUCUUAUUAAUACAUCUUAUAUUAGUUGAUAUUCACAACUUUAGGAACUGUCUUUUAAUCAUAAAAACCUGCUACAUAUUUGAUUUCUCCACAAUUGUUACUUCCUUCUAUAAUUGGAAUGAGGAGAAUUUGCAUACCUGUGAAGCUAUAUUAGUUCACUGUCACAUUUUUGGGGAUUACUGUUGUACGUUAAUAGGGUAGUAUGCACUCCUAGAUACUACAUAGAGACAUGUUUGAACUCCUAAACUUUUUUUGGAUUAGUUCAAAAUGUGUGUUUAAAUUGCUAUACACUAUUUGCAAAAUAUGUCUUUGUUUUAGAAUUGAUUGCUAACUAUUUUCAAUUAUUCUUUUCUUACAUGUACACCUAGGGAGCAAAAUGGAGUCUUUCAUAUAGACUCACUGCCUCAAAAGGGACAUUUCGAGGACUCGGAACAUGCAUAUCAUCUCUCACUUAAUAUCUCUCGCCCCUCCAAAAGUCGUCUGAAACGAAAGCAAAGAGAAAUUCUAGAGUUUCCAUUAACUUCGCUCUUAUCCCCCCUCCCGAAAAUGUCUGAACGAAGCAAAAGAAAGGGAGAGAAGGGAGGAGUUGCUACUACAUUUUUUUCUCUUAUUUUAUGCUCAAUAUUCAUUUUUAUGUCCUUAUAUGUGACUAUUUGUUUGAUUUGUUUAACUAACAUUAGAAUUCUGAAAUACGUAGAGGGGACGGAGUAGUUUCCUUUUUUCAUUCGAACUAGUAUUAAAGAAAAAAAAAUCUUUUCCGCACAAAUUUUUGUUUAGUUGAUUUUAGGCAUUGUCCAAUUUAGAAUUUUAUUUUUAUUUAUUUAUUUAUUUAUUUUAUAGCUCCAAAAAUGUCCAAAUUUAAGAUGUGUAUUUUUAUUUGUAUUUUUAAAAAAAAUAUAAAAAACUGAAUAUUUUCUUUAUAAGGUUGCUAAUACAUUAUUUGUAAAACAGAAUCAAAUUUUUUAAAAUAUUGGAAUUUAGAAGAAUUUGGUUUAAUGUGGUAAAACAUCCGAAUCUAAAAAAUGAAGUUAAAAUCUUUUGAACUAUCUUUGGCAUUUUUCCUAA